UCUUUAAAAGAAAAAAAAAGAAAAAAAAGAGAAAAGAAAAACAAAAGAGAAAAAUGCACUUGCCGAGACUUAUGACUCUAACAGAUAUAAAAUGCUCGGAAAAUUUGAGUAGAAAAAGAGUCAAAAGAGUGAAAUUAACCCCCGGAGUAUACGUGAUGCACGAGAAAAAAAAGAGAAAGAAAAAUCACACAACAUGACUAUCGAGUUCAAAACCCUUUGUUAUCCAAUUUUUUUUGUUUAUCCC
rnacentral:lncRNA from 1 species